CAAAGACGAGGAAAGGCGUAGCAAGCGACAAAAUACUUUGGGGAGUUGAAAAUAAUCAUAGAUCCAGAGAUUCCCGAAAGGCUCAACCUUUCAAACUGUUGCUGAAUCCAUGGGCAGGCAAGAGACAACCUGGCGAAUUGAAACAUCUUAGUAGCCAGAGGAAAAGAAAGCAAAAGUGAUUCCCAUCGUAGCGGCGAGCAAAAUGGGAGCAGCCUAAACCGUGAAAACGGGGUUGUGGGAGAGCAAUACAAGCGUCAUGCUGUAAUAAAGAAUUCCUCGGGAAUUCCAAGAAAUCAUGUUAUGCGUUCGUUCCAGCCUUUAACCCUCUUUUCUAGGUUCAUCGAUAUUG
rnacentral:ncRNA from 1 species